rnacentral:rRNA from 1 species
CCAUUACUGACACUGAGGAGCGAAAGCGUGGGGAGCGAACAGGAUUAGAUACCCUGGUAGUCCACGCCGUAAACGGUUGGGCACUAGUUGUGGAAACCUUCCACGGUUUCUGCGACGCAGCUAACGCAUUAAGUGCCCCGCCUGGGGAGUACGAUCGCAAGAUUAAAACUCAAAGGAAUUGACGGGGACCCGCACAAGCGGUGGAUGAUGUGGUUUAAUUCGAUGCAACGCGAAAAACCUUACCCACCUUUGACAUGUACGGAAUUCGCCAGAGAUGGCUUAGUGCUCGAAAGAGAACCGUAACACAGGUGCUGCAUGGCUGUCGUCAGCUCGUGUCGUGAGAUGUUGGGUUAAGUCCCGCAACGAGCGCAACCCUUGUCAUUAGUUGCUACAUUUAGUUGGGCACUCUAAUGAGACUGCCGGUGACAAACCGGAGGAAGGUGGGGAUGACGUCAAGUCCUCAUGGCCCUUAUAGGUGGGGCUACACACGUCAUACAAUGGCUGGUACAAAGGGUUGCCAACCCGCGAGGGGGAGCUAAUCCCAUAAAACCAGUCGUAGUCCGGAUCGCAGUCUGCAACUCGACUGCGUGAAGUCGGAAUCGCUAGUAAUCGUGGAUCAGAAUGUCACGGUGAUACGUUCCCGGGUC